rnacentral:ncRNA from 1 species
AGAUUAUCAUUUCAGGAGAAGAGUAGUUUGUAGCGCUGUUUACAGAGAUUCCCGUUUGGUGCGAAGGGAAAAUGGUUAAGCGAAUGAAGAUGAGCUCCGAGGAUUCGAGUUGGUUCACGCUGGCUCGACGGGUGCGACCGUUAUAUGGCUAGGCUUAUAUUUCUGCGAGGAAGUAUGUGCUGAUGAGGCGCUGCGUUGAAAGACUCAGGCGAAUAAGGGUGGUACCACGAACAAUACUCGUCCCUUUG